GGAGUGGGCUGCAAAAGAAGUAGGUAGUUUAACCUUCGGGGGGACGCUUACCACUUUGUGGUUCAUGACUGGGGUGAAGUCGUAACAAGGUAGCGCUAGGGGAACCUGGCGCUGGAUCACCUCCUUAAACGAUGAU
rnacentral:rRNA from 2 species